GAUGAACGCUAGCUACAGGCUUAACACAUGCAAGUCGAGGGGAAACGAUGAGAGAGCUUGCUCUCUUAGGCGUCGACCGGCGCACGGGUGAGUAACGCGUAUCCAACCUACCCAUUACAGGGGGAUAACCUUGCGAAAGUAAGACUAAUACCCCAUGGCAUUUUAUGGUGGCAUCAUUAUAGGAUUAAAGAUUUAUUGGUAAUGGAUGGGGAUGCGUCUGAUUAGCUUGUUGGCGGGGUAACGGCCCACCAAGGCAACGAUCAGUAGGGGUUCUGAGAGGAAGGUCCCCCACAUUGGAACUGAGACACGGUCCAAACUCCUACGGGAGGCAGCAGUGAGGAAUAUUGGUCAAUGGGCGAGAGCUUGAACCAGCCAAGUAGCGUGCAGGAUGACGGCCCUAUGGGUUGUAAACUGCUUUUAUAGGGGAAUAAGGUGAGCUACGUGUAGUUUAUUGCAUGUACCCUAUGAAUAAGGACCGGCUAAUUCCGUG
rnacentral:rRNA from 1 species